rnacentral:lncRNA from 1 species
CGCACUACAGUCUAUGUUGUUUCUAUCCUGGAGAUAUGCACCUAUGCUGCUCCUACCAUAGGAGUACGCAUUCCUUCAUUCACCCACACACAUUCCACAUCCACUUAGAAAAUGUUCUACUUCUACACUAGGAGAAGACACCCAAAAAUAUUCAAUGUCUUAUUCUACUUAUCCAAUAAAGUCCCAGUUAUCCCAGUUGAUUCUCCCUACUGUUAUCAUUAAAUAAAAAGGGAAGGCUAAUCUCUAAAAAAGAGAGAAAAAGAAAGAAAGAGGACAAAAGCCUCAAUGGAAAAGAAAAGAAGACAGCCAAAUCCUGGUUC